UGGGGAAUAUUGGACAAUGGGGGAAACCCUGAUCCAGCGACGCCGCGUGAGGGAAGAAGGCCUUCGGGUUGUAAACCUCUGUCGGAGGGGACGAAACCUAUUAUGGCUAACAUCCAUAGUAAUUGACGGUACCCUCAAAGGAAGCACCGGCUAACUCCGUGCCAGCAGCCGCGGUAAUACGGAGGGUGCAAGCGCUGUUCGGAAUUACUGGGCGUAAAGCGUGUUUAGGCGGGUUCAUGUGUCAGAUGUGAAAUCCCCCGGCUUAACUGGGGAGGGUCAUUUGAAACUGUGAAUCUUGAGUUUCGGGGAGGUGGGUGGAAUUCCCAGUGUAGAGGUGAAAUUCGUAGAGAUUGGGAGGAACAUCGGAGGCGAAAGCGACUCACUAACCGAACACUGACGCUGUCACACGAAAGCGUGGGGAGCAAACAGG
rnacentral:rRNA from 1 species